rnacentral:rRNA from 1 species
UUAUGAGUUUGACUGUGGCUCGGAAUGAACGCGGGCGAUAUGUUUUGACACAUGCGAAUUGUACGUAAAUUUUUAUUAAAUUUAAGUAGUGCAAGGGUGAGUAAUGCAGUUAUUGUUAUCAGUAAGAU